CCUCUCGGAGCACCGUAAUGGUGCCCAUGGGGCACUGCCCGGUGUCGAGCAGGUCUGGGGCUCGCUUCUGUGCGGCCCCGCAGCUCGUUAUCCAUUGCCGAGCAGCUCAGGAGCAGCCUUCUCCCUCUGAUGAUUGACACAAAGGUUGUCAUCGUGUGCUACCAGAGAAGACCACCAGUGCUCUCCAGAAAGCUUUCUCUCUGCUGUCUGACCUGCUGAGGCCAUUUCUGACAACAGAAAAGCAGAUUCAGCUUCCCCCUGACUCACGGAGACAAGAAAUAGAAGUUUUGCCAGUUCUCUGCAUUCUCCUGUGCCUCUGCUCCAGUGAGGCCUUCCUGCUGACACUUCAGGAUCCAAAGGGCAGCUCCAUCAACCAGGUUCUUCCACU